rnacentral:rRNA from 1 species
CGGGGUGCAGCAGGCGCGAAAACUUUACAAUGCGGGAAACCGUGAUAAGGGAACUCCGAGUGCCCGUAAAAUCGGGCUGUCCAUCUGUUUAAAUAACAGGUGAAGAAAGGGCCGGGCAAGACCGGUGCCAGCCGCCGCGGUAAUACCGGCGGCUCGAGUGGUGGCCACUAUUACUGGGCUUAAAGCGUUCGUAGCUGGUCCGUUAAGUCUCUGGGGAAAUCUACUGGCUUAACCAAUAGGCGUUUCAGGGAUACUGGCAGACUAGGGACCGGGAGAGGUGAGGGGUACUCCAGGGGUAGGAGUGAAAUCCUGUAAUCCUUGGGGGACCACCUGUGGCGAAGGCGCCUCACCAGAACGGCUCCGACAGUGAGGGACGAAAGCUGGGGGAGCAAACCGGAUUAGAUACCCGGGUAGUCCCAGCCGUAAACGAUGCGCGUUAGGUGUAUCGGUGACCACGAGUCACCGAGGUGCCGAAGAGAAAUCGUGAAACGUGCCGCCUGGGAAGUACGGUCGCAAGGCUGAAACUUAAAGGAAUUGGCGGGGGAGCAC